GAGGUAAGAAUGCUCCUCUUCACUGAGUGACGGAGUCUGUACUUGUGUCAGAUGCAGAGUCAUAAUGUAAGUAAGACUGUGUAUGGAAUAAAGGUAGAAUAUGCAGUAAUAGUGGAGAAGAAAAUCUGACUCUAGCUGUGUGCAUUAACAGUGAAGAGCUUAAAGCUCCCAGAUCUGCAUUUGCUUUAUGUUUACAAACCCCUUUCAUUCAUUUAAAUUAGAGUUACAUAUAAAUAUCCUGUACUGAAACAGUAAGCCACAUUUUAAUGCUUGACCACUGAUUUUCCAUGUGCAAUCAAUUAAAUAGUCAGGAGAUGUCACAAAUGUGCAUGCAAAGAAACAUUUACACAUGGUUUCACAUACACGUGGGGAAAGAAUGUGCCUACCGGUGCAUUGAGCUGCACGUGUGAGAUCCCAGAUCAUCUGGAGGCUGACUUGCAAACCAAAACUGGUCACAUAAGAGCACAGUAUUUGUAAACUCUGUUCUUUCAAGUCAAAGAGGAGAAACAGUGGACUGGAUUUUUUUUCUAAACUUUGCUGCUUGUUUAGGGCUGUAGUAUAACCUCUCUGACUCCGUCCUUGAUUAACAGUUGCUUAGAGCAGUGUGGGUCAUGCCUAGAAUAGGAAAAUGAUAGUACUUAACACUGUGUGGGGUUAGGAAGAUGAAUUUUUCAGCCUGCAGGCAGGAGUAGAAUUGAGAGGGUUUUUUCUCAGAUGCCAUUGCCAAUUAAAACCUGGUACAGAACUGCGCAGAGUGACCGUGGUUGUCUCUCCCCAUAAACGAUGUGGCAAAGUAGUAAUGCUGAUUUGAAAAAAUGAAAGGGAAAUGUAAAGAAUGAAGGUGUGGCAACAGAAAUCUUUUCUGGGACAACAAUCAAAUAUAUAUUUGGGGGUUUUAUUUUUUUAAGUUAAGAAUGAAAUGUAAAACAAUGUAAAAACAAAAAACAAAGUUCAUCCUAAUAUAAUGUGCGUCUUGUAUUGCUAAAAAACAAGUCUAACAUACGGUGUAGAAUGAUUUUCCCAUCAUGUACUGCAUGCAGCAGAAGCCUCUUGUUUCUUGAUAAAAUGAGCUGAAAGACAGUCAGCAGAUAUUUAAACACUGAAUCUCUAGAUGUUGACUUGCUGUUCCAUAUGAAGCUGUGUGUUUUCUGCAGUUAAGCAUGCAUUUUGCUGUUCCCUUGUAAGAUACCAUCGCACUUCUUGCCUGCAAAAUGGAUUAUUGUGUAUAUAUUUCAAAGAAAAGUGGAACCAAUAACAAGAUUAAAUUUGGAAAAGAGAAAAGGGGGUGGUGAAAACGGGACCAGUAGGGGGAAUAGAGAAUUCUCUAAAUUGUACAUAGUGUGUAAAUUAGCAUUACUCUAAGUCUGCAGUCACUCUGAGGUUGCCUAUCUCCUGCUAGGAACUUAAAUCAGCUUUGAGUUGUAUUAAACUGUUAGAAUUAGGUCUUGAAUGCAGACUGUUAAAGACUUCAAAAAACAUAUGCUUACAAGAAGCUUCUGUUCUGGGGAGGCUUGAGACCCCUUUUGUAACUCUGGGGAAGAAAGGAGUGCUUUCAUUUUAAUAUGCAUUCUGUUUGUAAGUAGUAACAGACCCUAUUGAUGUACAACUAUAACUGUGAUCAUGUGGAGAAAUCAAAUAAAUCAUUUAAAACUC